GGGUGGGAUCAUACCAACGUUAGUGCACCGGAUCCCAUCAGAACUCUGCAGUUAAGCGGGCUUGGGCUAGAGUAGUACUAGAAUGGGUGACCUCCCAGGAAGUCCUAGUGUUGCACCCU
rfam:Picea glauca, whole genome shotgun sequence.